CCCCUAGAUGUUCUGGGCCGCACGCGCGCUACACUGAACAGUUCAACAAGUCUUAACCUUGGCCGAUAGGUCUGGGUAAUCUUUGAACGCUGUUCGUGACUGGGAUAGACCUUUGCAAUUAUGGGUCUUCAACGAGGAAUUCCUAGUAAACGCAAGUCAUCAGCUUGCAUUGAUUACGUCCCUGCCCUUUGUACACACCGCCCGUCGCACCUACCGAUUGAAUGGUCCGGUGAAAUCUCAGGACGGCGGCUUGGUCGCUUGCGUCCGACUGCUGAAACUUGAUUAAACCAUAUCAUUUAGAGGAAGGUGAAGUCGUAACA
rnacentral:rRNA from 1 species